rnacentral:pre_miRNA from 1 species
AUAACAUUCAGAUCGUUGAUUUAUCGAGAAACUUCAUACGCUCGGUGGAAGACCUUCCCAUUGUCAU